AGCAGUCCAGCCAUUCUGCGCAGUCCUCUGCUUUACCUCGGUAGAUAGCGGCGCAGGGAAGCAGUGUUUCUCCUCGUCACUUCGAAAUCACACCAGUUAAGCAAUUAAAGCCAGAUUUCCAACAUCUAAAUCCAAAAGAGAAAUGCAGCAUUUUGAGAGGAAAUUGUUCUGAAUUCGCUGAGCUAUUUAUUUCAAGUUGAAGUAACACAGAAUACAGAUAACGGAUGAAAGUUGAAUAUGCACAUCAUGCUUAAAACAAAUGUCAUUUCCUUUUUGUUGUUAUAAUUAAAGGGUGUUCGAAGGUU